UACGUAGGGUGCGAGCGUUGUCCGGAAUUAUUGGGCGUAAAGGGCUCGUAGGCGGUUUGUCGCGUCGGGAGUGAAAACGCCGUGCUUAACACGGCGCUUGCUUUCGAUACGGGCAGACUAGAGGUAUGCAGGGGAGAACGGAAUUCCUGGUGUAGCGGUGAAAUGCGCAGAUAUCAGGAGGAACACCGGUGGCGAAGGCGGAUCUCUGGGCCUUACCUGACGCUCAGGUGCGAAAGCUAGGGGAGCGAACAGG
rnacentral:rRNA from 1 species